UAUAGUAUUAAAUUGUUUUUUCUCUAUUUUAAUUACAUUUUAUUUUGCUAUUUAGCACGAUUCUCGCAUUCCAACUGUGAUUAUUGGGAAAUAUUUCUAGGGAAUUUAAUAUUUGGGCAAUAUAGGAACAUCACCGUCUCCCGUAUCUUAUUCAAGGGGGAAAGGCAUCGUAGUAGCUUGAAAUCUGGCCUGUCUUCCAGUAUGCUGGUCAUACAAGGCUUGGCAUUUGACCUGCUGCAGGAGAUGGGCAGUACCGCCGCUCCCUAUACGCAGGGUACGCAGUCUGUGUAUAGAGCACCAACUCCCAGAGGGGACUCCAUCCCAGCUGCUCAAAAAAAAAA